AUGGCAACCGAGGCCGGCCGACCCGCCUCGCUCCUCACUGCCGUCGAAGGCUACGUCGGCGACCGGUCCAACGAGAGGACCGCCACAGGCAUCACGAGGAAGGGCCUGAGCAUCAAGGUGUCCCUUCUCGCCAACCGCCCGCCACAACCGUCCAAGCUGUGGGUGCACUGCCCGGAGGCCGUGCACGUCGACACCCCCCGCGUCCUCUGCACCGCCGGCGACCUGAUCCUCUUCCGGGUCGACGUCUCCCCCGAUUGUGUCCCAGACAGCCGUUUCUCGAUGCGGCAGGAUUGCGACUACUUCCUCUACCGCGCUGACCCCAAUUCGCCAGUGCUCACGCUCCUCGACGACAUGCGCACCAGAGGUUUCGAAGACAAUGAGAUUGGUAUUCUUCCCCGUGGUCUCCACCACUACACCAUCGCCGCGCUGCUUCCUGGUCCUCUCAGCUUCAAAGAGUUCGUGCUCCAUUUGUUCCACUCCGAGACAUCCAGCUGGAGCUCCAUGGUGCUGCCCGUGGCUGAGCCACAGGUGGAGUUCGAUUGCUUCAUCCCCACCAACACGGAUCUCUAUUACCAUUAUACUUCCAACGUCAUCACAAUCGGCGGUGAGCACGGCACCAUGGGCUGGGUCGAUCUCUGGCGAGGCAUCCUGUUGUGUGAUGUGCUGCGUGAGAAGCCAACUCUCAGGGGAAUACCGCUGCCGCUGCCGAUGGAACAUAUCACCGCCGGCAAACAUUUAGGCCGUGCAAUGGACUGCCGAGGCAUUGCCGUCGUCAAUGGCCGUCUCAAGCUUGUCCAUCUGGACAUCAACGCCAGUUACGACAUAAACAUCAUUGACCCGGAGACAGAGCACCCAACUAUGCUGGUGGAUGACUGGGCGAUCUCCUCAUGGAGCAAUAGCACGCUGGAGAAUUCUUACGAAGCUUGGGGCGAGCCUGAAUGCACGGUCCAAGCUGAUGAGGUUGCAAUCAAAACUGAUAUGAUUUCACAACCGACUGGAAUGCUGCUGUUGCCAUCAGAGGAGGGUGUUGAGAACCCAGAACAAGAGGCUGCCUACUUCCAGCGCCUUGUGAUGUCUGACCCGUCUCCGAGCUUGGAUGGUGAUGGUGUUGUUUACCUAAUUGCUGCGAAGGAGAAAUCAUAUGACCAAAAGUCAUGGAUCCUUGCUCUUGACAUGAAUACCAAGACGCUGCAAAGUGUUGUUCCGUUUGGCACCGUAGAAGACCCAAGUGAUCCUGUCGUGUAUUGCACUAGCAGGCCUGCCUCCAAUACUUGA
rnacentral:rRNA from 1 species